GAGCAUCAUAGGAGCACAUGGGCACUGAGCUAAGGACACUUGCUGAUAUAACCGAUGCUCAACUCUGACUAUAAGUCAGAGUUGGUAUUGUUUGUCAUUGGACUGGCAAUGAAGACAGAAGCAGAGCAAAUGUUGCUGGAGAAAUCAGAAACCAAGAAAAAGUUACUUCAAAGUCGGCUUUUGUGUGCAUGAAUGGCUGUGUACCUUGUGCAUGCAGUGAGGCCAGAAGACGUUGGAUUCCCCUGGAACUGAAGUUGGAGAUGCUUGUGAGCCAUCAGAUGGGUUCUGGGAAUUGAACCCAUGUCUUCUGCAUAAAGGACAACACUUUUAAGCAUUGCACCAUCUCUCCAGCCCACUCAAAGUUGAUUUUUAAAAUAAACUUUAUUAUUAUGUUAUUAAAAAAUCAUGUACUGAAGUUAACUAGACCCAAAGUCUACACAUCACAGUGAACAAGAGGUUUAAGUGGGACAUAAAAAUAAAUGACUAAAAAUCCAUAAUACCAUGAGGCCUUAGGGAGUGGAAGGAAGCAAGCUUGAAACAAAUUACUAGCAGGCACAAACCAUCGCUCUUCCUUUCCCCUGAAAACAUUAAUGAAUUUCAAAGAAGUUUCUAGAACCCACAUAUUUAUUCUCUUACACAAAGCCUUAACCGCCAAUGUGGGUUUUAUUCUGACAGCGGUUCUCAGGGCAGUAAGUAGACAGCAGAUUGCUUCCACUCUAGAAGUCCCUCCAAGGAGAGCAGAUCUCCAACUCUUUUAAAGAGAAUUUACUACAAGCAUCUUAGCGUCCUCGAAAGUCCAGAGGGCCUGUGUUUUCUGCCAUUGCUGAUCAGAGGGCCUUACUGAUGAAAGAGCCACCUUGCAAAGCUACCAGACGGUGAUGCCCCUGCAAUUUUUCUGGGAAUAUCCCUACAUGUCUAUUCAUCUGUUCUAGAUCCCCCCAGGGCUUCUUCUUAGGUUUGCCACAGUGUGUGGGUAUUAUCAGUGUGGCAAGUUCAAAACCCAGAGUGAACCCCUUCCCUCCCCCCUCCCCAUUGACUGGUUAGAGUUCUAGAAAAUAGAACUUAAGAGUAGGGGCUGUAUCCCAUUUUAAAAGAGUCUCUUUCCUAUUGUAUGGUUCUUAGUUCUUAAAUUGAGUGGAAACAAGAGAGAGGUUGAAAGAAAGGAUUGAGGCUUUCAAUGAAUGUGAGGGAUACUGAGAUUUCUCAAGGGCCUGGGUGACUUAAUUUCCUCAUCCACAAGUGGGUUUAACACCUUACUGUGUAUGACACUGAAACCAACACUGCGCCUUUGGUGAUUCUUGUUUAGAUGCCUUUUCUUCAUUUCCUGUGUCAGCAUCACAGUUCAGGUCCCUAAGCGAUCUCCACUGCCGUCAGCUCCCAAGUCAGUCUGAGAUUCUCACUUAAAGUCCUCGCUCCUGCUUCCAUCUUCAAGAACCGCGACCGAAGAAUCUAACUAAAGCACAAGGAUGCACUGUGAGCCAUGCAUUAAAAUCGUUUAAUGGCCUCUUAAUGUAGAACAAAAUCUUUGACCUUCAGUUAGCACCCUUUCAGAAACAGUCACCCGGGGUUUGCUUCCAUUGGCUCACAGCAGAGUACACUAUUGUGAGCGUGCUCAGUAGGCUAGACUCUACGUUACUUGCUCCACAUAAAUCAUUUCGUGUAAACAUGAUCCUUAGUGCUGUCUUCUAGCUCUCCAUGUUGCAGAAGAGGAAAGAAUGGCCCAGAAAGACUGUGGAACUCACCCAAGAACAAAUAGCUUCUUGGCCACAGAACUGAAUUCACUGUCUGGCACUUUCUGAUUUGGGUCUCUGGCUCCAGAGCAGCUGGGGGAGGGUGAGCAGCUAGGGGUUCAGAAUCAAAGGGUGGAGGAAGGCAAUCUGAAAGAUGGGUGCUGGGGAGGAGGAGGCAACCUUUUCUUUCCCAGGUUGGUGGUGGGAAGUGGCUAUCUGGACUUGAAGAGAACGCUCUGGUCCUGGCUCCAGCAAUCUUACUGUAGAGGCCAUUUUGCUACACAGAAAACCCAGACCAGCAAUUUUCUGCGUUCUUGGAGCUCUAUUUGAUUCCUCUCCCAGCUCAGAGGUGGAUACUCGGCAGAUAUUUGGGAUGUGAUUACUGCCUCAGAGUAGUCAAAGCUCUUCUCUGGGAUAGGAAGGACUGAAGGGGCUGCCAGAUGACGGCUUCCAGUUCACUUAUAGAGGAAAGUUUUCAGUCUUUCGGAAGUGGUCUGUGGGUAAUCAGAGAUGGUCAGACUGCCAGGCUGCUUCUUCAACAAGAUGUUUCCUCCUGACUUCUCCAGCAGCCUUAUCCUAAGCCCAGUGGAAGGAAGGUGCCUGGCUGUCUUUACCUUUGUAGCCGGGUCCUGCCUGCAUACCUACUGCGAGAGUUCCAGGUCGCAGGGCUCCAGAACAUCU
ensembl:processed_transcript